UACAGGGGGGGGCAAGCGUUGUUCGGAAUUACUGGGCGUAAAGGGGUUGUAGGCGGCCAACUAAGUCACCCGUGAAAUCCCCAGGCUUAACCUGGGAACUGCAUCCGAUACUGGAUGGCUUGAAUCCGGGAGAGGGAUGCAGAAUUCCAGGUGUAGCGGUGAAAUGCGUAGAUAUCGGGAGGAACACCAGUGGCGAAGGCGACUUCCUGGCCUGUUCUUGACGCUGAGGCGCGAAAGCUAGGGGAGCAAACGGG
rnacentral:rRNA from 1 species